rnacentral:lncRNA from 1 species
UCGAAGUAAAUGAUUUUCUGAAGGUCGGUCUCCCAGAAAGCAUUUGCUCUGGUUUUUUGUUUUGUUUUAUUUUCGUGUUUUCCCAGUUAGGGAAGGGAGAGGAGCCUGUGCAGAGUUGAACUGGGGUGGAGAGGUGCGUUGUAAAGUAUGGUUUCCAGAGACGGUGAGACCUCGUCGCUAAGCGUUGUUUCCUCUGCAUGUAACUUACAAGGAUGUCUGCGUGGAUAUCCCUGGACACUCGAUACCCCCCGGGGACCUGCUCUUCCCGCAGCUCCGCAGACGCGGCAGGAGGGCGCGCUGGCCCCGGCGCUGCUGGGACAGAGUUUAAAUCUCGGAAAACCAAAAACACCCUUUAGAAACGUCAGGUGGUGGCGGCGGAAACUCAAAGGUCGCCCCCCACCCCCAGCGCGGGCUCCCCGCCGCCGGCCACUUCGGGGGAAGGACCGCGCAGAGGCAGCGUCGGGGUCCCCGGGCGGUCGGAAUCGAGGCCCCGCGCGUUGCGCAGGCCAGGCCCGGCUCGGAGGCCCCUCGCCCGGCGCAGCCCCCGG